rnacentral:rRNA from 1 species
CGAAGUAGAAGAUAGCUUGCUAUUGGAACUUAGUAGGUGAACGGGUGAGUAACACGUAGAUAACCUGCCUGUAUGACCGGGAUAACAGUUGGAAACGACUGCUAAUACCGGAUAGGCAGAGAGGAGGCAUCUCUUCUCUGUUAAAGUUGGGACACAACGCAAACAGAUGGAUCUGCGGUGCAUUACUCUAGUUGGCGAGGUAACGGCCCACCAAGGCGAUGAUGCAUAGCCGGACUGAGAGGGCGAACGGCCACAUUGGGACUGAGACACGGCCCAAACUCCUACGGGAGGUAGCAGUAAGGAAUUUUCUUCAAUGGGGGAAACCCUGACCGAGCAAUGCCGCGUUAGUGAGAACGGCCUUCGGGUUGUAAAGCUCUGGUGUAAUGGAAGAACGGCAUACAGAGGGAAUGCUCUAUGAGUGACGGUACCUUACCAGAAAGCCACGGCUAACUACGUGCCAGCAGCCUCGGACAAUACGUAGGUGGCAAGCGUUAUCCGGAAUUAUUGGGCGUAAAGGGUGCGUAGGCGGCGAGAUAAGUCUGAGGUAAAAGCCCGUGGCUCAACCACGGUAAGCCUUGGAAACUGUCUGGCUGGAGUGCAGGAGAGGACAAUGGAAUUCCAUGUGUAGCGGUAAAAUGCGUAGAUAUAUGGAGGAACACCAGUGGCGAAGGCGGUUGUCUGGCCUGUAACUGACGCUGAAGCACGAAAGCGUGGGGAGCAAAUAGGAUUAGAUACCCUAGUAGUCCACGCCGUAAACGAUGAGAACUAAGUGUUGGGGAAACUCAGUGCUGCAGUUAACGCAAUAAGUUCUCCGCCUGGGGAGUAUGCACGCAAGUGUGAAACUCAAAGGAAUUGACGGGGGCCCGCACAAGCGGUGGAGUAUGUGGUUUAAUUCGACGCAACGCGAAGAACCUUACCAGGCCUUGACAUGGUAUCAAAGGCCCUAGAGAUAGGGAGAUAGUUAUGGUACACACAGGUGGUGCAUGGUUGUCGUCAGCUCGUGUCGUGAGAUGUUGGGUUAAGUCCCGCAACGAGCGCAACCCUUGUUUCUAGUUACCAACAGUAAGAUGGGGACUCUAGAGAGACUGCCGGUGACAAACCGGAGGAAGGUGGGGAUGACGUCAAAUCAUCAUUGCCCCUUAUGGCCUGGGCUACACACGUACUACAAUGGCGUCUACAAAGAGCAGCGAGCAGUGACUUGUGAGCGAAUCUCAUAAAGGACGUCUCAGUCGGAUUGAAUCUUGCAACUCGACUUCAUGAAUCGGAAUCCUAUAAUCGCGGUCACAUGCCCGGUGAUACUUUCGGCUUGA